UACGGGGGGGGCAAGCGUUGUUCGGAAUUACUGGGCGUAAAGGGCUCGUAGGCGGCCAACUAAGUCGGAUGUGAAAUCCCCAGGCUCAACCUGGGAACUGCAUCCGAUACUGGAUGGCUUGAAUUCGGGGAGAGGGAUGCAGAAUUCCAGGUGUAGCGGUGAAAUGCGUAGAUAUCUGGAGGAAUACCGGUGGCGAAGGCGGCAUCCUGGACCGACAUUGACGCUGAUGAGCGAAAGCUAGGGGAGCAAACGGG
rnacentral:rRNA from 1 species